UCUAAGGAGAACUGUUUAAAGCUUAGGCUUUAAACGAACAUCCUAUUGGUCGAUUCUUUCUGAGGAUGAGGUUGAGAAACCAAGUUCCCAGUAAAGAUCAACAAAGAGUCUUAGGACUCAAGCCGAGGGAUCGGCAACUCAUUGGAACGAGCUGUUGUUUAGUUUUGAGAGACCAGGAAGAACCGAAGCAAUUCGGUGCAUAAUGGAACCUCACUCACAAAGGAUUGAGGGAAAGGCAGAAAUGCUUGACUAACAGUCCUAUAUUUUUGUCAAUGUUCGUAAGAACAUUCUGUUCUUUGAAAACUGCAUAGAGAAGAAGAUCUAGAAAAAGUCGAAAGAAUUCACCUUAAGACGCAAGUCUUAAGUAAAACCUAGAAGUAGAAGAUCAAUA
rnacentral:misc_RNA from 1 species